UCUUAGUUAAAAAUAAUAAAACUAAAAUUUUAUGGUUUUAAAUGAGAUUCUAAAACGAUUUAAACUAAAAUCAUGUAAGAUUUCUAAUUCAUCUACAAUUAUCUUACAACUCACUCAAAACAAAAUUAUUUCAAAAACAAAUAUUUGAUAAAAAAUGAUAAAUAAAAGUGAGAUGUGUGGUUUCCAUUUAAACCCACUCCCAAUAAUAUACAUGAUUUGUUUUAGACUCAGCAUAACUUCAAAUUACUACCUUAGCGAAAUCAUCUCAUCUGCCGGUUGCCUUAAUCAAUAACCUAACACCAUAUGCGACCCAUCGAUCCAUUAGCCUCGCCCAAGGAUAGGACCAUACUUAGGGUCUAUAGGCUAAUAUAGAUGGUUUGAGUAGCCUACAUAAAUGCACCAAACAAAGAUAAUACAUUCGACCUCAACUCUCAAUCGUCUAACCAAACAAUCCUAAUCUAACCCAAAGGCCAUGACCAUGAACCGGCCAUCCAUAGACCUUCGGUCCUAACCAUCGCACUCACAUUAUCCAAUCAAAGAGAAUAAGAAGAAUAAGAAAAUCACAAACACAAAAGGUACCCUUUCGUUCCUUUUCCAAAUCCGACAAACCAUCUCGCCGGACAGCCUCAAACCAACCGAGCAC
rnacentral:lncRNA from 1 species